rnacentral:rRNA from 1 species
UACGUAGGGGGCAAGCGUUGUCCGGAAUCAUUGGGCGUAAAGCGCGCGUAGGCGGCCCGGUAAGUCCGCUGUGAAAGUCAAAGGCUCAACCUUUGAAUGUCAGCGGAUACUGCCGGGCUAGAGUCCGGAAGAGGCGAGUGGAACUCCUGGUGUAGCGGUGGAAUGCGCAGAUAUCAGGAAGAACACCAACGGCGAAGGCAGCUCGCUGGGACGGAACUGACGCUAAGGCGCGAAAGCGUGGGGAGCAAACAGG